rnacentral:rRNA from 1 species
UAGCCGACCUGAGAGGGUGAUCGGCCACACUGGAACUGAGACACGGUCCAGACUCCUACGGGAGGCAGCAGUAGGGAAUCUUCCGCAAUGGGCGAAAGCCUGACGGAGCAACGCCGCGUGAGUGAUGAAGGUCUUCGGAUCGUAAAACUCUGUUAUUAGGGAAGAACAUACGUGUAAGUAACUAUGCACGUCUUGACGGUACCUAAUCAGAAAGCCACGGCUAACUACGUGCCAGCAGCCGCGGUAAUACGUAGGUGGCAAGCGUUAUCCGGAAUUAUUGGGCGUAAAGCGCGCGUAGGCGGUUUUUUAAGUCUGAUGUGAAAGCCCACGGCUCAACCGUGGAGGGUCAUUGGAAACUGGAAAACUUGAGUGCAGAAGAGGAAAGUGGAAUUCCAUGUGUAGCGGUGAAAUGCGCAGAGAUAUGGAGGAACACCAGUGGCGAAGGCGACUUUCUGGUCUGUAACUGACGCUGAUGUGCGAAAGCGUGGGGAUCAAACAGGAUUAGAUACCCUGGUAGUCCACGCCG